rnacentral:lncRNA from 1 species
UUAAUAUAUAUUCUCAUAAUAAUAAUAAAAAUAACUUAUUUUAUUUAAAUAAUCAAAUAAUUAUUCCAGCAAUGCAUAAAUUUAAAACCAGUAGAAAAACCAACGAUCCUUAAAAAUUAAAAUCCAUGAUAAAAACUUAAUAAGCAUAAAUAAAACAACUAAGUAAGCACUUAGUUGUUAGCACGAGCAGUGGAUAGAUGAGGGAUCAAUAUGUGGAUC